rnacentral:SRP_RNA from 1 species
ACGUAACAGGCGCUUACGAACCCCGUCAGGUCCGGGAGGAAGCAGCGGUAAGUAAGAAGGCCUGUGUCGUGAUGGUAUCUAUGCCCU